ensembl:lncRNA
GUGGAGGGCUGGGCCGUCUCGGGCUCGCACUCCCGCAGUAGCGGCGGCGGCGACACAGCUGACAGCUUGAGGGAUGCUCCGCUACGCAAGUCACAACAAUGCACUAUGACGUCACAUAAGGGAAUGGCGACUGCACAAAACAUCCCAGCCGAGGCGGCCGCGCUCGCGAGCAAACCGCACGAGACGCAGAGAAAAGAAAAGGCCUGCCACAGAUCUCGCGAGAGCUUGUGAAGACCCUGUAUUCAACCCACUCCUGUCUCCCUCCCCGCUGCCCUGUUCGCUUUACAAAUAGGGGGAAAUUAUUAAAACAGGACUACAUGUCCCAAGGUGCAAUACGCCCGAGCGCUGCGUUUGUGUUUGUUCCAGGUCCGGUUCCAGGUGGGGGCGAGGCCCCCUCAACAAGAAAUGUCGGGUGCUCUUCCAUCGCAUUGGUCUCCAACAAACCCAAGGCAGCCGGCCAAUACAAGUUUGAAUCACGUCUUCUAUCUGCUAUGGCUCCCUUGUAUGGAAGGGCAAGGUGACAUCAUGACUGUGGACCAGGUCAAGGUCCCUGUUGCUGUGAAUUUGUUGAAGAGACAUUACAUUCAGCAUUUUUUAUUUAAUCAGUAUUCUAAAUAUUAAUUAGUUAAGCAAUCUAGUUAAUGAACUAAAUAGUACAUUAUUUUGGAGAUACCAUAAUUGCAUUAUGGUCAAGGUUGGUUUAGUAGUGUACAACUGUAAGAUUACUUAAGAUAUCAACAAAUAGAAGAAAAUAGAAUGUCAUUCCUAUUGCUACAAAAAAGGAAAUUCCUAGUCUUAAUAUUUCUGGAUUUUCUUAUAUAUUCCUACUGCUGACAACAUUGCUGCUUUCUUUUCUUUCUUUUUCAUAAUCCCUUGGGAUAAUUGUAUAAUUAUUUUGCACAUAAUUAUUGUUGUGCAAAAUAUUUACACAUAGACUAAUUUGGACUAUAAGUCUUCUGAGGUUUCCAACUGAUAUUAAUCCAAAGUUUUAGUUUAAAUAAAGCAAGAAAUUGUACCUUAAGCCAUAUGAGGUAAUUUGUGAAUAAACUAAUAUGUGAUAAUAGAGAGGAGUUUUUAAAUCUGACAGUCCAUCCACCUUAAUAAACCAUUAAGUUACAGGAAUUAGUGUACGAAUUAGUGUAUCAAAACCAAAAUGAGAAAUAUUUGUAGUUAUAUCUUAUCAUUACAGCACAACUAAUGUAUUUAGUGUAUUGCCUGCAUAGGUUUUUCUUUUAAGUAAUUUUUAUUUUGUAAUUGUUUUCAAUAUUAUAUCUAUUUUGCAUCUUUUGUAUUUUAUGAUUUAAAUCCUCAUAGGGCUUAUUGUUAAUAGGUAUGAUAAAAGUGUUGAACAUAACAAACAAAUUAAGUAUUUUUAAACUAUUACUUCAAUGUAUUUGUCGAUAACGAUUUAUAUCAGCAAUAAUGAUACUUUUAAAAGUAAGAAGCAAUGAUCUAACAUUCAUUGCUUCUAUUAUAUAAUUCUUUUCCUAAAAUUCUGAGAUUACAAAAGUAUAAGAAGAAAACUGUAAGGUAUUUUGUAAGAAGGUAUACAUCAGGUAGUAAAGGUUUGUAGGCUGUAGGUUGUAUAGGUCCAAACAACUGUUCAUUAGGUUACUCAGGCAAUAGAGGGAGAUGAGAUUAUCCAUUAAAAAUAUAUUACUUUUACAACUCCUGGCUUUGUCUUGUCUACUCAUUUGUAUUUCAGAAUUAUUUUUUCUGCUGUUUUCAGCAAUAAUGCCACCAUUAUUUGUGCUAACUCAUAACUAUUAAAAACCAGAAGA